AGUGAACGCUGGCGGUAGGCCUAACACAUGCAAGUCGAACGGCAGCACAGUAAGAGCUUGCUCUUACGGGUGGCGAGUGGCGGACGGGUGAGGAAUACAUCGGAAUCUACUUUUUCGUGGGGGAUAACGUAGGGAAACUUACGCUAAUACCUCAUACGACCUACGGGUGAAAGCAGGGGAUCUUCUGACCUUGCGCGAUUGAAUGAGCCGAUGUCGGAUUAGCUAGUUGGCGGGGUAAAGGCCCACCAAGGCGACGAUCCGUAGCUGGUCUGAGAGGAUGAUCAGCCACACUGGAACUGAGACACGGUCCAGACUCCUACGGGAGGCAGCAGUGGGGAAUAUUGGACAAUGGGCGCAAGCCUGAUCCAGCCAUACCGCGUGGGUGAAGAAGGCCUUCGGGUUGUAAAGCCCUUUUGUUGGGAAAGAAAAGCAGCAGGUUAAUACCCCGCUGUUCUGACGGUACCAAAAGAAUAAGCACCGGCUAACUUCGUG
rnacentral:rRNA from 1 species